GGUCCUGUGGUCUAGUGGUAUGAUUCUCGCUUAGGGGUCGUCACGUGACUUCAAACACCACGUGACUCUAAGCACAUUUGCGAGAGGCCCCGCGUUCGAGUCGCGGCAGGACCC